rnacentral:rRNA from 1 species
UAGGGAAUCUUCGGCAAUGGGGGGAACCCUGACCGAGCAACGCCGCGUGAGUGAAGAAGGGUUUCGGAUCGUAAAGCUCUGUUGGUAAGGAAGAACGAGUGUGAGAAUGGAAAGUUCAUACUGUGACGGUACUUAACCAGAAAGGGACGGCUAACUACGUGCCAGCAGCCGCGGUAAUACGUAGGUCCCGAGCGUUGUCCGGAUUUAUUGGGCGUAAAGCGAGCGCAGGCGGUUAGAUAAGUCUGAAGUUAAAGGCAGUGGCUCAACCAUUGUAGGCUUUGGAAACUGUUUAACUUGAGUGCAGAAGGGGAGAUUGGAAUUCCAUGUGUAGCGGUGAAAUGCGUAGAUAUAUGGAGGAACACCGGUGGCGAAAGCGGCUCUCUGGCCAUCAUCUGCCGCUGAGGUCCGAAAGCGUGGGUAGCAACCAGG